GUGGCUUGUGGUAUUCAUGCCUCUCACCAAUUGGGAUGAUAUUGGUCCAGUCCGUCGCUAACAAGGGCAGUCCCAUGGGAGGCAUAUGUGCGGUCAGAUGUGAAAAGCCAACGCUACACUGCUUCAUUCUGUGGUUCGAUUGCCUGGCAAUCUUCGUCACCCUCAUGAGAUAAAAAUUGGUAGCCACCCGAGCGAGAUUACUUAGGGGAUGGCUAAAACCUCAAUUUAAGUUCUAAAAUGAAGAGUCGACAUGAUUUCCUGAUGGCUUGAAUGAAUUAUGAACACGUGAAAGAGUUCCCAGAAUCUGAAGCAAAGAUGACAGGACCUGGGAAAAGUUUUCAAGGACAAUUCGGUCUACUCCUUAAUUUGUUUUGCUGAUGAGGGUCGUCGUGGAAUCGAAAUUCACCCAAGAUCCUAGAUGGAAAUGCCGUGGAACCUUCAUGCAUUCCCAGACACAAGCAGCUACAGACGAACAAAUGGUUCUUUUGUCAAAAUUAUUUGCGGCCCUGCUUCCAAGCUCCCACCAGACACAAAUAACAAAGAGGGCAAAUUGCUGCCAGAGUUUAAGCGGAACAGCUAUGAAAUCCUAUGUUUAAGAACGGGUUCUUGGUUCGAGACCAAAGUUGAAGAGAGAGAUGUUAUUUCUUGAAAAUGCUAUGAAGACGUUUAUAACGAGUUUUGAGGAGAUUUGAAGACGUAGAAGAGAGAUGAGGGAAACGAAGAAGAAACUUAUGAUAUUUUGACAGU